rnacentral:piRNA from 2 species
UGUGAUUUGAACUCAGGACCUCUGGAA